GGAAGGGAUAAACGCUGAAGGCAUCUAAGCGUGAAGCCCCCCUCAAGAUGAGAUAUCCCUCACAAAAGUGAGUAAGAUCCCUUGAAGAGUACAAGGUAGAUAGGGUAGAGGUGGAAGCACGGUAACGUGUGGAGCUGACUGUUACUAAUCGAUCGAGGGCUUGACCAAAUAA
rnacentral:rRNA from 1 species